rnacentral:lncRNA from 12 species
CUUUGCUCUCCCUUUCCCUAUUCUGGGGCCAAACCGUUGCGGGAGUGGAAUCCGCACGGUGCUGAACCCACCGGGGGACCCGCUGGUGGGCUACCAUGGAUUGGUGGACUCCAUGUUAUUUAUGCUAGAGAUUUGCUUUUUUGGACCUGCAAGGGCUCCGCUCAGCUGUUGUUCGAACACCCAGUGGAAUGGAUGGCUUUGUGGUGACAGGAAUCUAAAACGUUGGUAAGUUAGAGGCGCUUCAUUUCAAAGCCAUUUGGACCACUCCCAUUCAGGUCUCAGAGCGGAGCGUACAAGACGAGGCAGGGAAUGGGGGGAUGCAGCCGUGGUGAGUUUGAAAUGCUGCUGGCAUCACCCGAGGGGACCCCAGGCAUCUCAGUAUUCUCUGCAUGGGGAGUGUCGAAGGGGGCAGGUGCUUUCAGCACGUCAGUGUCCAGCGAUGGGCUCUCUUACAGACUAGAGAAGGAGCCGAGGACAGUCAUGGUGUAGUCACCUGUUGGGUGUAGAGCAGGCCAAGUUCAAAGUCAUCAAUUUUCAUCAUGAGUCCCCUUAGUCGCUCUACAAAACGUUUCUUAGCCUGCUGUGGGCCACCUUCCCAAAGUCUUCAUGCUGUGAAUUGAUGCUCCUAUCUCAUGUUUUUUUUUUUUUUUUUUCAUGUUGGUUUUUAAUAAAGACUCUGCUCCUCAGAGCAGUGAAAGGUGGGAGAAGCCAGAGGGGCGGCAGUGAUCAGAUUCACAUCGAGAAACGCCUCCGCGGUGUGGACAGGAGCUGCUGGAGGACUCUGGAGGACAGGGGGUGGCAGUUUGCAUCACUAGGUUGUGGCCAAGAGGGAGAGGUGGACAGACACCGGAGAUGCAGAGGAAGGAGGGCCCUUCUAGGAGAAAGGCAGAGGGUGUAAGGAGAAGCACGGAAAGCCGCGUGACCAUGGAAGGUAUGCAGCGACGAGCCAAGGACACCUGGAGUCAGGUGCAGCGGGAAGAGGAUGGUGCCCCAGAUCUAGCCUGCGGAGGGGGGUGUGAUGUCAGACUUCUGCUCUCUGGAGCUGUGAGGGAAUAAGCCACGUUCGUGGCCAUUUGUGAGUCUCUGCCUCUCUCUGUCUCUCAUGAAUAAAUAAAUAAAAUCUUAAAAAAAAAUAAAGGGA